CACGCCGCGUGAGUGAUGAAGGUUUUCGGAUCGUAAAACUCUGUUGUUAGGGAAGAACAAGUACCGUUCGAAUAGGGCGGUACCUUGACGGUACCUAACCAGAAAGCCACGGCUAACUACGUGCCAGCAGCCGCGGUAAUACGUAGGUGGCAAGCGUUGUCCGGAAUUAUUGGGCGUAAAGCGCGCGCAGGCGGUUUCUUAAGUCUGAUGUGAAAGCCCCCGGCUCAACCGGGGAGGGUCAUUGGAAACUGGGGAACUUGAGUGCAGAAGAGGAGAGUGGAAUUCCACGUGUAGCGGUGAAAUGCGUAGAGAUGUGGAGGAACACCAGUGGCGAAGGCGACUCUCUGGUCUGUAACUGACGCUGAGGCGCGAAAGCGUGGGGAGCGAACAGGAUUAGAUACCCUGGUAGUCCACGCCGUAAACGAUGAGUGCUAAGUGUUAGAGGGUUUCCGCCCUUUAGUGCUGCAGCAAACGCAUUAAGCACUCCGCCUGGGGAGUACGGUCGCAAGACUGAAACUCAAAGGAAUUGACGGGGGCCCGCACAAGCGGUGGAGCAUGUGGUUUAAUUCGAAGCACGCGAAGAACCUUACCAGGUCUUGACAUCCUCUGACAACCCUAGAGAUAGGGCUUCCCCUUCGGGGGCAGAGUGACAGGUGGUGCAUGGUUGUCGUCAGCUCGUGUCGUGAGAUGUUGGGUUAAGUCCCGCAACGAGCGCAACC
rnacentral:rRNA from 1 species